rnacentral:rRNA from 1 species
GUUGUAUAGUCAAGUAAUUAAGUGCAUGUGGUGGAUGCCUUGGCAGUCAGAGGCGAUGAAAGACGUGAUAGCCUGCGAAAAGCUCCGGGGAGGCGGCAAAUAUCCUUUGAUCCGGAGAUGUCUGAAUGGGGGAACCCACCUACUUUAAGGUAGGUAUUGCAACAUGAAUACAUAGUGUUGCAAGGCGAACGAGGGGAAGUGAAACAUCUCAGUACCCUUAGGAAAAGAAAUCAAUUGAGAUUCCCUCAGUAGCGGCGAGCGAACGGGGAUCAGCCCAUUAAGUUAUGUGUGUUUUAGUGGAACGCUCUGGGAAGUGCGAACGUAGAGGGUGAUAUUCCCGUACACGAAAGGGCACACAUAAUGAUGACGAGUAGGGCGAGGCACGUGAAACCUUGUCUGAAUAUGGGGGGACCAUCCUCCAAGGCUAAAUACUCCUGACUGACCGAUAGUGAACCAGUACCGUGAGGGAAAGGCGAAAAGAACCCCUGUGAGGGGAGUGAAAUAGAUCCUGAAACCGCAUGCAUACAAGCAGUGGGAGCACCUUCGUGGUGUGACUGCGUACCUUUUGUAUAAUGGGUCAGCGACUUAUAUUCAGUAGCGAGGUUAACCGUAUAGGGGAGCCGUAGAGAAAUCGAGUCUUAAUAGGGCGUUUAGUUGCUGGGUAUAGACCCGAAACCAGGCGAUCUAUCCAUGAGCAGGUUGAAGGUUGGGUAACACUAACUGGAGGACCGAACCCACUGUCGUUGAAAAGCCAGGGGAUGACUUGUGGAUAGGGGUGAAAGGCUAAUCAAGCCUGGUGAUAGCUGGUUCUCCCCGAAAGCUAUUUAGGUAGCGCCUCGGACGAAUACCAUAGGGGGUAGAGCACUGUUUCGGCUAGGGGGUCAUCCCGACUUACCAAACCGAUGCAAACUCCGAAUACCUAUGAGUACUAUCCGGGAGACAGACUGCGGGUGCUAACGUCCGUAGUCAAGAGGAAAACAAUCCAGACCGCCAGCUAAGGCCCCAAAAUCAUAGUUAAGUGGGAAACGAUGUGGGAAGGCAUAGACAGCUAGGAGGUUGGCUUAGAAGCAGCCACCCUUUAAAGAAAGCGUAAUAGCUCACUAGUCGAGUCGGCCUGCGCGGAAGAUGUAACGGGGCUAAAACUAUGUGCCGAAGCUGCGGAUNNNNNNNNNNNNNNNNNNNNNNNUGCUGGAGGUAUCAGAAGUGCGAAUGCUGACGUGAGUAACGACAAAACGGGUGAAAAACCCGUUCGCCGAAAGACCAAGGGUUCCAGUCCAACGUUAAUCGGGGCUGGGUGAGUCGACCCCUAAGGCGAGGCCGAAAGGCGUAGUCGAUGGGAAAAUGGUUAAUAUUCCAUUACUUCUGUGUAAUGCGAUGAGAGGACGGAGAAGGCUAAAUCAGCCUGGCGUUGGUUGUCCAGGUGAAAGGAUGUAGGCAUGUAUCUUAGGCAAAUCCGGGGUACUCUAUGCUGAGAUCUGAUAGCAAGCUGUACUUGUACAGCGAAGUGGUUGAUGCCAUGCUUCCAGGAAAAGUCUCUAAGCUUCAGUUACACAGGAAUCGUACCCGAAACCGACACAGGUGGUCAGGUCGAGUAGACCAAGGCGCUUGAGAGAACUCUGCUGAAGGAACUAGGCAAAAUGGUACCGUAACUUCGGGAGAAGGUACGCUGUUGUUGGUGAUGGAACUCGCUUCCUGAGCUGACGACAGCCGCAGAAACCAGGCCGCUGCAACUGUUUAUUAAAAACAUAGCACUCUGCAAACACGAAAGUGGACGUAUAGGGUGUGAUGCCUGCCCGGUGCUGGAAGGUUAAUUGAUGGGGUUAGCGUAAGCGAAGCUCUUGAUCGAAGCCCCAGUAAACGGCGGCCGUAACUAUAACGGUCCUAAGGUAGCGAAAUUCCUUGUCGGGUAAGUUCCGACCUGCACGAAUGGCAUAAUGAUGGCGGCGCUGUCUCCAGCAGAGGCUCAGUGAAAUCGAAAUCGCUGUGAAGAUGCAGUGUACCCGCGGCUAGACGGAAAGACCCCGUGAACCUUUACUGCAGCUUGACACUGAACUUUGACCUUACUUGUGUAGGAUAGGUGGGAGGCUUUGAAGCUGGAACGCUAGUUCCAGUGGAGCCGUCCUUGAAAUACCACCCUGGUAAUGUUGAGGUUCUAACUCUGUCCCGUGAUCCGGGACGAGGACCGUGUCUGGUGGGUAGUUUGACUGGGGCGGUCUCCUCCUAAAGAGUAACGGAGGAGUACGAAGGUGCGCUCAGCGUGGUCGGAAAUCACGCGUAGAGUAUAAAGGCAAAAGCGCGCUUAACUGCGAGACCCACAAGUCGAGCAGGUACGAAAGUAGGUCUUAGUGAUCCGGUGGUUCUGUAUGGAAGGGCCAUCGCUCAACGGAUAAAAGGUACUCUGGGGAUAACAGGCUGAUACCGCCCAAGAGUUCAUAUCGACGGCGGUGUUUGGCACCUCGAUGUCGGCUCAUCUCAUCCUGGGGCUGAAGCAGGUCCCAAGGGUAUGGCUGUUCGCCAUUUAAAGAGGUACGCGAGCUGGGUUUAGAACGUCGUGAGACAGUUCGGUCCCUAUCUACCGUGGGCGCUGGAAAUUUGAGAGGAUCUGCUCCUAGUACGAGAGGACCAGAGUGGACGAACCUCUGGUGUACCGGUUGUGACGCCAGUCGCAUCGCCGGGUAGCUAUGUUCGGAAGGGAUAACCGCUGAAAGCAUCUAAGCGGGAAGCCUACCUCAAGAUAAGAUUUCCCUAGGACUUUAUGUCCUCUAAAGAGCCGUUCGAGACUAGGACGUUGAUAGGUUGGAUGUGGAAGCAUAGUGAUAUGUGAAGCUGACCAAUACUAAUUGCUCGUGAGGCUUGACUAUACAACACCCAAGCAGUUG